rnacentral:rRNA from 1 species
ACGAAGGAUCCAAGCGUUGUCCGGAUUUACUGGGUUUAAAGGGAGCGUAGGCGGAUAGAUAAGUCAGUGGUGAAAGCCUUCAGCUUAACUGAAGAACUGCCAUUGAAACUGUCUAUCUCGAGUAUGGUUGAGGUCACUGGAAUGUAACAUGUAGCGGUGAAAUGCUUAGAUAUGUUACAGAACACCAAUUGCGAAGGCAGGUGACUAAGCCAUAACUGACGCUGAGGCUCGAAAGCGUGGGGAGCGAACAGG